AUUGAACGCUGGCGGCAGGCCUAACACAUGCAAGUCGAGCGAGUGGCGGACGGGUGAGUACUGUCUGGGAAACUGCCUGAUGGAUGGGGAUAACUACUGGAAACGGUAGCUAAUACCGCAUACCAUCAUAUUUACCCAUAUGGGAUUAGCUCGUAGGUGGGGUAACGGCUCACCAAGGCGACGAUCCCUAGCUGGUCUGAGAGGAUGAUCCGCCACACUGGAACUGAGACACGGCCCAGACUCCUACGGGAGGCAGCAGUGGGGAAUAUUGCACAAUGGGCGCAAGCCUGAUGCAGCCAUGCCGCGUGUAUGAAGAAGGCCUUCGGGUUGUAAAGUACUUUCAGUCGGGAGGCGUUACCGGCAGAAGAAGCACCGGCUAACUCCGUGCCAGCAGCCGCGGUAAUAC
rnacentral:rRNA from 1 species